rnacentral:tRNA from 1 species
GCCUGGCUGGCUCAGUUGGUAGAACAUAGGACUCUCGAUCUAAGGGUUGUGAGUUCAGGCCCCAUGUUAGGCA